GCAAGCCUGAUGCAGCGACGCCGCGUGAGGGAUGACGGCCUUCGGGUUGUAAACCUCUGUUAGCAUCGAAGAAGCGAAAGUGACGGUAGGUGCAGAGAAAGCGCCGGCUAACUACGUGCCAGCAGCCGCGGUAAUACGUAGGGCGCGAGCGUUGUCCGGAAUUAUUGGGCGUAAAGAGCUUGUAGGCGGUUGGUCGCGUCUGCUGCGAAAGGCUGGGGCUUAACCCUGGUUUUGCAGUGGGUACGGGCUAACUAGAGUGCAGUAGGGGAGACUGGAAUUCCUGGUGUAGCGGUGGAAUGCGCAGAUAUCAGGAGGAACACCGAUGGCGAAGGCAGGUCUCUGGGCUGUAACUGACGCUGAGAAGCGAAAGCAUGGGGAGCGAACCAGGAUUAGAUACCCUGGUAGUCCAUGCCGUAAACGUUGGGCACUAGGUGUGGGGGACAUUCCACGUUUUCCGCGCCGUAGCUAACGCAUUAAGUGCCCCGCCUGGGGAGUACGGCCGCAAGGCUAAAACUCAAAGAAAUUGACGGGGGCCCGCACAAGC
rnacentral:rRNA from 1 species